UAGCGAACAGUGGAAACUCAGGGAUGCAAGGAACCUUCCAGUGUAUGCCAAAGCCCUUAGCUUACAGAGGAGACCACCAGCUUUCACAUAAAGUGUGACAUGGGCCAGCCUGGAGUCAAGUUCUCUUGACCUGGGUUCAGGUCUUCUCUUUCCUUGUUGAUUUGUUUUUAAACCGUGUGGCGUUGUGUUUUUACAAGGCGAAAAAGACAUUCAUGAAGGCAUUUAGAGUCUUAUAGAAAUGAGGUCCUUCUAGAGAAGAGCAUUGUCGAGUCCUUCACAUUUUUCCUCUUGGUUCCUCCAGUUUUCUGUGUCCACUGUGACCAGUUUCUAAACCAAAAAUUAGAUCAUGUGGUUAGAUAAAGAAAUAUGCGUUAUUUGACUUGUAAAUUUGUUUUAACAAAGAUAUUUUAAAUGUUUGACAAGAACAUCAUGUUUAGUUAUUUGGUUCUUGACAAACUACUGCUUUCAGGUUUUUCCAUGACUUUUCUCCUUUAGUUUCCCCACCGUCCUGCUAGGUGAGUAUCAGGAACAUGCUUAUGGUACAGAUAAGGAAACUAAGGCUUAGAGAAGUUAAUAGUUAGAGAAGUUAACUGGGGUCCAAGGUUGUAAAAGACACAUCUUUCUGACUCACAAAUCUGUUAACUUAGUCACGAUAUCAUUCUGCUUCUCAGCUCAUGUUUACAUAUACAUUAGAUAUAAUUUGGGAAUCAGCUGAUUUACUGAAAAUAAUAAAACUACAUGAAAUCAGAUAAAUCUGGGGCAUGCAGUCACCAUCCCCAUGACUGGAGGUGUUUGAUUAUUUGUCCUGAUUUACUGGAAGCUGGCACCUGGUGGUGGGUCCCCCAAAGUCAGGCUUAACUAUGUUUUAGCUAAAAGUCUUAAUGCCACUUAGUUCUAGUGUAUUGGACUGACUCGGGUUGACAUUUGAACUUUGUAGUGUUCAGACACUCUUACCCAAACCACAGUCUCCAUUUGGUGAGCAAUGGGCUUUGGAAUUGGCUGAAUUCGUGGAGGAGAAAGGGCUAAGGUGACAGGGGAUGGGAUAGCCUUUUCUGAAAUCUUGCUUAUGACCUUGGGACCAUUUUCCUCUUGAGGUCCUGGCUUUCUCUCAUCAAAGCCCUGGUAACUUAAUUAUUAAAAUGCAUUCACCCUUUAAAAGGCAGGAGUUUCAUCGCAUUACUUUUAGGCUGUCUCUUCUCGGUGACUGAAUGUCUGGGUUGUGUCAUAACAAGGCCAAUUAAAAAGAAAAAAAAAUGCACAAAGUCAAGGCACAUCCCCUACCCUCUGAGUCAGGUUCAUACCCCUCCCAGGAUCUGUAAAUCCGCUGCUCUUAUGGAGCUUGGGGCUGCUCCUCUGGAGCCAGUUGUUCAGUUUUAUAGCCUGCGCUGACCCCAUGAUAUCACUGGGUCAUCAGAGUAGGUGGUUUGGGGUUAAAAAAGGCUGGUUCCCAAGAAGCAAGCCCAAGGCUCUUAAGAAGGGCAGGGUGGGGGUUGGUGGAGAGGGUGGGUAUCCUAGAAACAGCCCCAGGCAGCCAGGUAAAGGAACUGGGGAGGUGUCCUAAGGCAGGAUUUCCACUGCCUGCAGCAAGGAGACCCUUCUCAAUUCAUUUGGGCAGAUGUGGUGGCUAUUCCUUAGCCAGCUGUUUGCACUGAACAUGAGAUCUGGCUCUAAGGUGACCCAAAGCUAUGGUGGAAAAAGAUCCAAACAAACGUAGAAGCAGCUAUGCUGGCCAAUAGAUUGUUAAAAACAGUACUUAACCAAUGUUAACUCCCACUUUGCUGCGUUAAGUGUAGAGUUCUCAUUGAUACAUAACAUAAGGACUAAAUAGAUAACGUAGGUGUAUCUCUAGUUCUGGCAGUGUUGGAAAAUUUCUCUUAGGGCCUUGUUCAUCAUUAUCAAGGCAGCUUUUUAAGAAAAAAGACUUCUUUAGAAAUAAUAAAUGCUAGAGUUCCCACUGUGGUGCAGUGGAUUAAGACUCCUUGGGUUGCUGAGGAGGCAUGGGUUUGAUCCCUCAUCUGGUGCAGUGGGUUAAAGGAUCUGAUGUUGCUGAAGCUGUAGUGUAGCUAGCAUCUGUGGCUUGGUUUCAGUCCUUGGUCUGGGAACUCCCAUAUGCUGUGGGUGUGGCCAUGAAAAAUAAUAAUAAUAAAUACUAAUUUUAAAAAGACUCCAUCAAGCCCAUUUUCCAAGGGCGUUUGGGAUUCUGGAGGGUUAGGAAAGAGAUGUUUGUCUUGGCCAAAAGCACCAAUAGUAAAAUGAUUGUCCGUGGAAGGAGCACUGGAUUGAGAAUCUGAACACCUGAGUUCCCAAGUCUGGCUCAGCAUCUAUUUGUGGGGGCUGUUGGAGAGACCCUUUACCCACUGUGGCUCAGUUUCUCUCUCUGAAAGUUGAAUUUGUGUUAGCUAAUUCUUUGAGUAUUCUGUACCCUGAAAAUACCAAGCAUCGAUUUCUUUAGCCUCUUUAUGAUGUAAUUAAAUAACCCUUUCCAACCCUUACGACCACGGGGAAACGCUCUCUGAAAAUAUGUAUUUAUCCAGCCCCUAACUCAUUAUAUCAUUGUAAGCUGGACUGAAAAGGCUCCAGGGGUCACUGGGAACCAUGUUUUCAGAUUAGCAUCAAUAUAGAGAUCCAGUGGCUGAAAGAAAUUAGGGUGAGAGUAAUAACAAAUAGUAAAGCAGGCUGGGAGCCGGUGAGACUUAAAUCAUUUGCUGAUAAUAGAUGGACCUUUUCUGAUAACCUUAAGCCUCAUGAUAUUUUUAAAAUAGUUCUUUUAACCUUAACAUCAUCCCCUAACAUGACUGAAAAGCUACAUGUGACAUAAAGAGAGAAGGGGAAUGCUUUUGCUGAGCACUGCCUUCACUGGUGAGCGUGUUGAAAUGUCUUCAAGCUAGAAAACCAAAGCAAGGUGAAAAGCAAAGAAAAGCAACAAAACCAAAUAAAGACAACAAAAAGUACUUUCAGUCUGCCUGCCUCCCAUGCCUCUGCUCUGCUUCUCGCCUUGUUUCCACAUGCUCUUCAGAAGAGUAGAUGUUAUCUGUUAUCUUUCUUUCAGUCUUGCCAUACUUCCAGGGAGAUGUGAAGCCUGCCACCAAGACUGACGUCUGUCACUAUCAGACUGGACCAUUUCAUUGCUGCAGCCCCGUGUCUCUGGUUCACAGUUAGCCCUUGUCCUACUUGCCCUCUCUAAAGCCCCCUGCAUUGUUGAGAAAAUUGCCUCUUUAAACCACUUCCCUUCAUGCAACUUUCAAGGCUUUUAAAAAAUUAGUAUUAUUAAAAACAUAAUCUUGUUUUUUUGUAGAAAAUUUAGUAACUAAAAGACAAACAAAAAGAAAUAUAGAAAUUACCCAUAAACGUAUGACCUCGACGAGAAAGCUGCUAUUAAAAUGUUAGUGUAUUUUCUGCCAUUUGUGGGUGGAGGGAAGAGAGUGAGGGGGAAGCAGUACAAGAUGAGUCUAGGGAGCAAGGUACCAGACACACAAGGCCUUGUAGGCAGACCUGGGAUUUGGAAGUUUAUUCUGAGAGCAAUGAGACAACGAGGAGGCUUUUCAGUAGGAUGAUGAGACUCUACCUCUCCUUCAAUCAACUUGAAGUCCCCAGAUGGUCAAACUUUUCUUGACCUCCAUCUCCUCCAAAGUUCUACUCAGUUCAUGGGUCCCUAGUUCACCAGCUGUUCCAUGGGGUAUAACCUACAGUUGCCCUGAACCAGGGCAGUCUUGUGGAGCUGGGCACAAAGCUUUUCAUCUUCACUUUCCCAUCAUCCUUAUUGGCAUUAUCUCUUGAAGGAUCCUCUCAGACCUGAUAAACUAAUGAAUACUAAAGUGUAAAUGAAAUGGAACUUAUUAUCCCUUCCAGGGCAAUAGCUUUUUAAAAACUUCAAGCCUAUACAAAACUGAGGGGAAUAUUACAUUAAGCUCCUGAAUGCCACCAGCCAACUUCCACCAGUAAUCAACUCAAGGCAAAUCUUGUUUCUUUGGUAUUCACAACUACUCCAUCCUACCUCAGACAUUUUAUGUGGGAAAUUUCAUUGCAGUAGACAAAGUAAAUUAACCUCAAAGAAUAUAUCUUUAAAGGGGAACUACUGGUAAUUUAUCAUAUGAUGAGGGAGGGAAAAUUUCCAUAGGUGCCUUUUUGAGCAAUCAUGUAGCAUGUGAAGAAUUUAGUUCUUACAUUGAAUGUCUGGGAAAUAUGGAUAUCUAUAUCUAUAUCUACCUAUCUAUCUAUCUGUCUAUCUAUCUAUCUAUCUAUCUAUCUAUCUAUUUAUCUAUCUACAAAGGUGCAUGAAGCACACAAUACUUUUGGGAAGGAAAAUGUUGCCAAUUUUCCAGAGGAUUUGAAAUAGCAUUUUAAAUAGAGAUCCAGUUACCCUUUUAGGAGAGGUGCCUGGCAAAGGAAAGUGUGCCAAUAGAAUGACCUUCCACACUCAAAUAUAUUUGAAGCCAGGGAAUGUGCUGGAGGAGUCAGCUUUCUGAAGAACCUAAAGGUACCCAAAAAGCCAAGAGUGGUGCUAGAGAGUAAGUAGUGCUUGAAAAUGCAGUCUUUAUUUAUUUUUUUAUUUAAGCAGUGUAAUUAAAUGACAACAUAACGUAGCACAGUUUUAUGAAGCAAUAAUCCGCUUCCCAAAUGGGUAAACUAUAAACCUGAUGGCUAAGUCCUUUGUCCCAGUGAGGGAGCCUGAUUAUUGCAGGGUAAAGCAGGGAUCAACCUCUUAUUUUGCUACCUGAGUUGAAAUAGGUCUAAGACACUCGAUAUAGAUUCUUACUCUGGGUAGGGAAGUCAAAGCUUUAAAUGUGGGAGAAAGAUGAAGGCACAUGGGAAUGGGCAGGGGGCUAGGAGAUGUGUUUGGAGAGAGCUUGGGGGUGGGUAGUGAGAUUCUGCAAAGGAAACAGGUGGAAAGAGUAGGUGAAUUCAGUAAAGCUCUAGCUU
rnacentral:lncRNA from 1 species